GGAUGAAGAUGAAGAGGGGACACUGACAGGUCAUCCCAGAAACCUGACCCAUGUUGUACCAUUUUCUGGGGGACUCCCCAAUGUUUUGGGGGACACUCUGGGGAAAGAGCUCAUUGAGGAACCUUCCGUGCCAGAACCUCUUCCAGCACCUGGCAUGACCAAUGACAUCCUGGAGGAAGAGCUCACUGAGGAAACCUCAAUGCCAGAACCCCUUCCAACACCUUGCAUCACAAAUGACCUACUGGGGAAAGUGCUCAUUGAGGAUACCUCAGUGCCAGGUCCUUCCAUCCUCACAGACACUCCAAAGAAAGGAGCUUCUGUGUCAAAGCCCUUACUAGAGCCUUCCAUUGCUUAUAAUUAUCUUCAGCAAGAUGUAGAACUCCUCAAAGAGUUACAGAAUGACUAUGUCCAGCAGCAACUGAGUGUUAGCCGCAUUUCCCAACAGUUCCCUUGUUCUCUCCGGGCCAUCAACCUGCAAAUUGGACACAUGCGGACAAUUCUCAACCGCACUGAGGUUCGGCUGCAGUGGUGGGAAAGGGAAGGUAUGUUCACAGCAUGCCCCUGAAAUUGCUGCUGGGUUAAGAAUGACUCUUUUGUUUAUUUCAUGUUGAAAUGCUUGAUUUGAGUCUGCAUCUAAGGUUUCAGGGGGAAGGCCUGUGAGUGGGUUGUCAGUGCUUGCUGAAGUGUUCCUUUGUUUUCUGUCUUUCAUGUGUCCAAGCUCCAGUGCCUGUAAUCCAAGCAGCUUCUCAGAAUGUUCCUGCAGACCCUGCUGCACUUCUCCAGCCCUCAGGGUCUGAUUCAUCAUUGUCCUCUGCCUCCCUUGAGGUUGCCUCCAUCCCACCCUCCACCUCCACCUCUUCCCUCCUCCUGCAUCCCUCUCCACCUCCUCCUCCUUCCCCACCUCCUCUGGAGCCAGACCUCAGCAAUUUGAAAGAAAAUCUGCAGAGUUUGGUAGAGAUGCAGGUCCAUCAGCUGCGUGACCGCCAAAGAGACCUCCACAGCUGCCAGGAAUACUUACAAAGCUUCAAGGCACUGAGGGGACAGUUGAGGCAGCUAAGGAGCAGACUGGCCAGGGUGGAAGCCACUAUGGGGAUCGUGGUUCCUCCAAGGGAGCUGGACGUUGCUGAGGAAGACGGGGAAGGCAAAUUAAAAGAGACAACUGUGCUACUAUUUACAUAGUAGCAAUAAAAUGCUGUGUAUAUAUUUUUAAAAUAUUAACUAUUUGUUUGCAUAGGAUGUAGAGAUAGAACAGCAAUAAAACUUGCAUAUUUAUUGUUUUAAAAAAUAAAAUGUUUUAUUUUAAAGAAAAUACAUUUGUCUUGCUUUGAAUAGUCUUUGGGUAGAGUU